UAAGUAGAAAAAAUAGAUUGUAACUACACAAAUUAAAUAUUGGUGCACUAAAAAGAACAUAUUUUUAAACAAUCAUGAUAUAUGUACAUGACUACUUACAAAUUUGUUUUUCGACAAAUGAUUUGAUGAAAUUCAAUUGUGUCAAAAUUUCAUCAACCAAAAAAAAUUAAAUAAAUAAAAAAAUACUUUCACCAAAUAUUUUCCAGGAAUAUUCUCAUAAUAAUAAUGUUAUUCAACACCAAUCAUGCUAGAGCACCAAUCAUGCUAGACAAUUUCAAUUAAUGAAUCAUGUAAUAUUGCACUUAAGCAAACAUAUAUUAAUGUCAUGCAAUUACCAUCUAAAUUGGUGUACGCUUCUACUUGAUAGAGAACACAAAGUAACAAUGUUCAUAAUCAAGAACAAUAAUGCAAGUGAAUUAUGCCAUGCAUUAGACAAACGAUACUAGCAUUUGAGAUUAAACAAAAGAAAUAUAUGGCUCUAAUGAACAAAAUUUCAUAUUAACCAUCUAAUGUGGUUGUACCAACAAAUGUAACAAAAUUGCAUUCUCGAACAUUCUCCAAAAUACUCAAUUGCAUAUCUAUCCUCCAUGUAAAAGCUAAAACAAUUACAAUCACAAUUACAAUUGUAAAAACAGGUAAAGGACAAAAAAAUAUAAUGUGGAGCAAAGGAUGAAGACACAGAUAUCAAAUCAUCAGGAAAGCAAAUAUUGAUAUAGGAAAAACAGAGUAAAUGAAUAGGGCUCAUACGAUGAUUAGAUAGCCCUAGCAUGAGAUUUGGAAAUAGACUUAGAUACAUAUUGUCUAAUUUCAUCAACCUUUUGACACAAAUUUUGUUAGAGAAAAUUCCAAGAAUAACUGCAAUCCUCUUGAACAUUUUAAAACUGGUAUAGCUUUAAUAGAAUGGCAUACUAGAAAAUAUAUCCUCCAAUCAUGAUCUACAUUUACUGGGAAGGUUUACAAAUCACUCCAAAAUGAAGUUCAAAUUUUCUCCUUUUCCUUCAAAAUAAAAAUCAAAUUUGAGAUUAACCGUCCCCAAAACCAAUAAGUUUUAUCAAGAAAAUAUAUCCUCCACAAAAUGCAAGUUCAAUAAAAAUUCCGUAAUCCAAGAAAAGUAUCAUAUCCAUUUUGUAUCAUUUUGGCAGCAUGGCCGAAAUCCAGUUCAUAUAAUGUCUUUUUCGGGAGCUAGAGGAAAUGCAUCUCAGGUACAUCAAUUAGCCCAUGGUCUACAUUUACUGGGGAAGGUUUACAAAUCACUCCAUAAUGAAGUUCAAAUUUUACCGUCUUCCUUCCAAAUAAAAAUCAAAUUUGAGACUUAAACCGUCCCCCAAAACCAAUAAAUUUUAUCUUUUAUUCGACUCUUCUGCUGAUCAUGUGGUUAUACACACACACACAUGACAAGAUAUAAUAUAACUUGGUUUGAUAAAAAUUUUAGUUCACUCGAAGAAAUCCCAGAUCAGAGACAAAUUCAAAAAACAUAGUCCUUUAAUCAGCAACAAUGAAACUCAAUCCACAGAUUUCUUCAACAACGGUUGUUCAAUUCUUGACCAGGUCUACAGGCAGCAGUUAACAAAUCACAGUCAAAACCACCGAAAUAGCAAGAAGAGAAAUAAGAUAGCUGCAGAAAUAAAAAGAACUACACCGCUGGUUCCUCCAGUCAUUGAAGACCAAGUUUUUGUCUAAUUUCCAACAAGAAAUUACAUGCCAUCACCUUGACAGAGAAAAACUAAGACAACUCAACAACUAAAAAUGGUAGAAAGCAACAACAUACAAAUAAGAAGCAAAUGUCAUAAUAUAGAAAUGCAAAAGGAUGCAAUCCUUUAGCAAUCAACAAAAUCAAAGCAGAAACCAGAAUAUCAAUUGGAAACAGAAUAAUUCCAAUCCCUGGAAUCAUAUCAAGAGAAAUACCAACAGCUUUAUGGUGAAUAAAGCUCAAGAACGAGUAAAAGUAUUAUAGAAAAGCCAAUAAUGACAUUGGCAGAUUGUCCACACCAGUCUCUAACUAGAAAUUCGCGGUCCUCAAUAAGGCCUUCUCUAGACUUCCUACGAAGAGCCAAUCUUAUGAAAUAUCAUCAAAACAAUAAUAAUUCAUUUAUCUACCAGCAAAUAUGUUGAGGGGUGUGCAUUAAUUUCUUUGUCCAGUGAACUCAAUCCACCUUUCGUACAGUGACCGUCGUAAAGGGCUAAGAAUUUGAAAAUAAAAUAAAAUAGAAUCCGAGGCUCAGAUCUGCAAAAUAUCAGGCAAAAGACUCCGAACUCGCCAUGGCUGCAAAAUCCAGUUGCAAACCAUGCCAUCUGAAUUUGCCCCGCCAAGAUACGAGUCAGGGUUUCUUCAUACCCGACCCAACUCAAGAAACGUAUCAUCACAGCCUACGAGGAAAGGAACGCGAAAAGAGUUUGUUGGGUAAACCGUGACAUAGCAUAAGUUCAGUGACCAUUGAAACAAUUAACUCUAUCUUCACUAAAUGCAUAGCUUCAUAUGAAUUGAUGAAGAUGGGAAGAAAGGGUUGGUUCUGCAAGUACGCGCAAAGUCGCAACCCGAAAUAAUUACAGGUAGUUUGCUGUAGAAGAGGGUUGUUGAUUUUGUGAAAUCAUUGGCAAUAGAGAGGGUAACAACCCUUUAAAAAAUUCCCAUUUCUCUAACUGCCUCAUUCAUUCGAGUUGGGAUUUUUGCAAGGAAACCCUAAUUUCUUGCUAUAAGACCUGGAUUUAGGGAUGUCAG
rnacentral:lncRNA from 1 species